AGCGAACAGACGAGGAGCUUGCUCCUCUGACGUUAGCGGCGGACGGGUGAGUAACACGUGGAUAACCUACCUAUAAGACUGGGAUAACUUCGGGAAACCGGAGCUAAUACCGGAUAAUAUAUUGAACCGCAUGGUUCAAUAGUGAAAGACGGUUUUGCUGUCACUUAUAGAUGGAUCCGCGCCGCAUUAGCUAGUUGGUAAGGUAACGGCUUACCAAGGCAACGAUGCGUAGCCGACCUGAGAGGGUGAUCGGCCACACUGGAACUGAGACACGGUCCAGACUCCUACGGGAGGCAGCAGUAGGGAAUCUUCCGCAAUGGGCGAAAGCCUGACGGAGCAACGCCGCGUGAGUGAUGAAGGUCUUCGGAUCGUAAAACUCUGUUAUUAGGGAAGAACAAAUGUGUAAGUAACUAUGCACGUCUUGACGGUACCUAAUCAGAAAGCCACGGCUAACUACGUGCCAGCAGCCGCGGUAAUACGUAGGUGGCAAGCGUUAUCCGGAAUUAUUGGGCGUAAAGCGCGCGUAGGCGGUUUUUUAAGUCUGAUGUGAAAGCCCACGGCUCAACCGUGGAGGGUCAUUGGAAACUGGAAAACUUGAGUGCAGAAGAGGAAAGUGGAAUUCCAUGUGUAGCGGUGAAAUGCGCAGAGAUAUGGAGGAACACCAGUGGCGAAGGCGACUUUCUGGUCU
rnacentral:rRNA from 1 species